CUGGAGUGCAGUGGUGCGAUCUCGGUUCACCACAGCCUCCGCCUCCUGGGUUCAAGCGAUUCUCCUCCUCAGCCUCCCGAGUAGCUGGGAUUACAGGCAUGCGCCACCGCACCUGGAUAAUUUUGUAUUUUUAGUAGAGACGGGGUUUCCCCAUGUUGGUCAGGCUAGUCUUGAACUCCUGACAUCAAGUGAUCUGCCCACCUCGGCUUCCCAAAGUACUGGGAUUACAGGCAUGAGCCACCACGCCAGGCUGGUAGCAGUCUUUCCUAGAAUGUGGAUGCCUUGGAAAACAGGGGCUGUGCCUUGUUUCCCUAGAACCUAGAAUGGCAUCUGGCACACAGCAGAUGCUACAUCUAUUGUAAAUGAAUGAAUGAAAGAAGUGUCCUUGCAGCCACACUGGCAGCCGUAACAUAGUGGUUAUAAAUCUAGACUCUGGAGUCUCAAGUGCAAAUGUCAUUGGCCUCUCCUCCAGCCUCCUCAAGGGGCACUCAAUGACUGGAAGCGCCUUGAUAUGACUGUGGUUGGACUGACAUGACUGCCAGAUGGUGGGACUUGGUCUGGAGCAGAGACUACUUGGAAUGGUAGAGGCAAAACUCAACAGCCCCUGGAGCUGUGCUUGUGGUGGAGCUGGACCCUGAUUUUAGCUGGACCUUGUUUUUAGAGACAGGGUUUCCUUCUGCAGUCUCAAUCUCCUAGCCUUGAUUGAUCCUCCUGCCUUGGCCUCCCAAAGUGCUGGGACUACAGGUGCAUGCAACCACACCUGGCUAAUUUUCUUCUUUCUUUCUUUUUUUUUUUUUUUUUUUUUUUUUUUUUUUUUUUUUGAUGGAGUCUUGUUCUGUUGCCCAGGCUGGAGUGCAAUGGUGCCAUCUCGGCUCACUGCAACCUCUGCCUCCUGGGUUCAAUCCAUUCUCCUGCCUCAGCCUCCCAAGUAGCUGGGAUUACAGGUGUGUGCCACCGUGCCUGGCUAAUUUUUGUAUUUUUAGUAGGGACGAGACUUCACCAUGUUGGCCAGGCUGGUCUCGACCUCCUGACCUCAGGUGAUCCACCCACCUUGGCCUCCCAAAGUGCUGGGACUACAGGCACAUGCAACCACGUCUGGCUAAUUUUCUUGAGUUUUAGUAGAGACUGGGUCUCGUUAUGUUGUCCAGGCUGGUCCCGAGCUCCUGAGUUCAAUCGAUCUUCCUGCCUUGGUCUCCCAAAGUGCUGGGCCUACAGGCGUGAGCCACCAUCCCCAGCCCAAUUUUUGUAUAUUUUGUAGAGACACAGUCUUGCUAUGUUGUCCAGGCUGGUCUCAAACUCCUGGGCUCAAGGGAUCUUCUUGCCUUGGCCUCCCGGAGCACUUAAUUACAGGAAUGACUGCAUGUGCUGUUGUGCCUAUACUUUCUGGAGAUACGUUGUUAGGAAUUUAUGUAGUUGGCCGGGCACGGUGGCUCACGCCUGUAAUCCCAGCACUCUGGGAUGCCGAGGCAGGUGGAUCACCUGAGGUCAGGAGUUCGAGACCAGCCUGGUCAACAUGGUGAAACCCUGUCUCUACUAACAAUACUAAAAUUAGCUGAGCGUGGUGGCACAUGCCUGUAGUCCCAGCUACUUGGGAAGCUGAGGCAGGAGAAUGGUUUGAGCCCAGGAGCAGAGGUUGCUUGCAGUGAGCCAAGAUCAUACCAUUGCACUCCAGCCUGGGCAACAGAGCGAGACUCUGUCUCAAAAAAAAAAAAAAAAAAAAAGGAAUUUACAUAGUUGAACAACUAUUCUUUGGACAUCUUUCAGUCCAGUAGACGGUGUUAAACUUGAAGACAAAUAACGAUUUGACCUGUGAUAUUUGUUUUUCCCUCUUAUCUUCUAAGCCCAUUCAUCCAGGUCAUUCAUCACCUUUAAAGGCAUCCCCAGAGGGAGGCAGGUCUGGACAGAGCUGAAGAUUGCACAGGCCAUUUGCAGGCUGGAUUCGUUCUCUGGUGACCCACCUGUCUGACUCGAGUUAUUUUUUUCCCAUGUCUGGACAAGACUGACCUCUGCCCAGCAACUCAGGCCUGGAUUUAGUCCAAGGGCCCUCAGUGGCUUUUUUUUGUUUGUUUUUUCAGGAAGUGAAGAAUUUAGAGGGAUAAAAGGCGGAAAUAACUUUUCAGCCUCUGACCUUUGUAACAAUCUGGUUUCCUUUUAAAGGAGCAUUGUUUGGGCCUGGGGCCACCUAGACCUUCUGAUGCUCUUUCCCCACCCUUGGAGGAGGAGGAAAGGAAGAAAAUGGGCCCUGAGCGAUCACCACAUACC
rnacentral:lncRNA from 1 species